rnacentral:rRNA from 1 species
UCAGAUUGAACGCUGGCGGCAGGCUUAACACAUGCAAGUCNAGCGGUAACAGGUCCUUCNGGAUGCUGACNAGCGGCGGACGGGUGAGUAAUGCUUAGGAAUCUGCCUGGUAGUGGGGGAUAGCCCGGGGAAACCCGGAUUAAUACCGCGUACGCCCUUCGGGGGAAAGCAGGGGAUCUUCGGACCUUGCGCUAUCAGAUGAGCCUAAGCCGGAUUAGCUAGUUGGUAGGGUAAAGGCCUACCAAGGCGACGAUCCGUAGCUGGUCUGAGAGGAUGAUCAGCCACAUCGGGACUGAGACACGGCCCGAACUCCUACGGGAGGCAGCAGUGGGGAAUAUUGGACAAUGGGGGCAACCCUGAUCCAGCCAUGCCGCGUGUGUGAAGAAGGCUUUCGGGUUGUAAAGCACUUUCAGUGAGGAGGAAGGCCUUAAGGUUAAUACCCUUGAGGAUUGACGUUACUCACAGAAGAAGCACCGGCUAACUCCGUGCCAGCAGCCGCGGUAAUACGGAGGGUGCAAGCGUUAAUCGGAAUUACUGGGCGUAAAGCGCGCGCAGGUGGUUUGAUAAGCGAGAUGUGAAAG